CUUAAAUGCUCAAGAGGGAAAGUCUGUGCUGCAGUGUGGACAAGCAGCUGGUGAAAUAUUUUUAUCUGUAUGUAAAUUUAAAUGAGACUUCAUUUUGGGGAGAAGAGAAAAGGGGGACACAAGUGACAUGACAUCAGUGAAGUGAGCAGCUGAACUCAAGGAAGUGACGUGCACCGUCAACGCUGACGACGGAGGAGGGAACCGCCCACUAUAACGCUUUACUCAGUGGCGUGUGGAGAACUGAUUGCGGCACGAAGACGCACUGGGAGGGUGAAUGUGAUGAUGCACAGCAUGGUAGCGGAAUGAACCCAACUGCCAUGACUGCGCAAGAUAAGCGGAUGACAGCAUCUCUCUCCUUCUCCACCCUCCAUCUUGGAAGCAUGGAUGCAGGCCUUGUCCUAUCAUCCAUGCCCAUCCUUAUACCAAAUAGGUAGUUUGGA